AAUCAACGCUGGCGGCGUGCCUCAGACAUGCAAGUUGAACGAUUAAAGCUCUCUUCGGAGAGUGCAUAAAGUGGCGCACGGGUGAGUAACACGUAAGUAAUCUACCCUCGAGUGGGGAAUAACGUCCGGAAACGGACGCUAAUACCGCAUAACGCAGCGGCACCGCAAGGUGACAGUUGUUAAAGGAGAAAUUCGCUUGAGGAGGAGCUUGCGGCAGAUUAGCNGUUGGUAAGGUAACGGCUUACCAAGGCUACGAUCUGUAACCGGUCUAAGAGGACGGUCGGUCACACUGACACUGAAUAACGGGUCAGACUCCUACGGGAGGCAGCAGUCGGGAAUUUUGGGCAAUGGGGGAAACCCUGACCCAGCAACGCCGCGUGAAGGAUGAAGUAUUUCGGUAUGUAACUUCGAAGAAUAGGAAGAAUAAAUGACGGUACUAUUUAUAAGGUCCGGCUAACUACGUGCCAGCAGCCGC
rnacentral:rRNA from 1 species